rnacentral:rRNA from 1 species
AUGAAACCUAAUCGUGCCCCUGGACCGGAUAAUAUUCCUGCGGAAUUCUAUCAACAUUGCUGGGGCGUUGUGAGUCCAGAGUUGUUCAAUCUCUUUGAGUGGUUCUAUGAGGGAAAAUUAGAUGUUCAACACUUGAACUAUGGGGUUAUCACGCUGCUCCCUAAAUCUGCGGAGGCAAAUAGGAUACAGCAGUAUCGACCUAUUUGCUUGCUGCGAUGCCCAUACAAACUGAUCACGAAAGCUAUGGAUCUUAGGGCUGCGAAAGUUGCUAGCAAAAAUUUUAGCAUCCAGCAGAAUGCCUUCAUUAAGGGGAGACACAUUGUGGAUGGCAUCCUAUCU